rnacentral:rRNA from 1 species
UGUCUGAAAGGAUAGCUAAUACCCUAUAUUGCCUUUUGUCACUAAGGCAAAAGGUGAAAGCGAGGCUGUCAAAGGCUUCGGCUCAAAGAGGGGUUCGCGUCCUAUCAGGUAGUUGGUGGGGUAAUGGCCUACCAAGCCAAUGACGGGUAGCUGGUCUUAGAGGAUGAUCAGCCACAGUGGGACUGAGACACGGCCCGCACCCCUACGGGGGGCAGCAGUGGGGAAUCGUGGGCAAUGGGCGCAAGCCUGACCCCGCAAUGCCGCGUGAGGGAAGAAGCCCUUCGGGGUGUAAACCUCUGUCAGAUGGGAAGAUGGGACUAGGAGCUAAUACCUCCUGGUCUUGACGGUACCAUCAGAGGAAGGGACGGCUAACUACGUGCCAGCAGCCGCGGUAAUACGUAGGUCCCGAGCGUUGCGCGAUGUUACUGGGCGUAAAGCGUCCGUAGCUGGUUUCGUAGGCGGAUUGUCAAAGCCCGAAGCUCAACUUCGGCAAGGCAUUCCGAACUGCGUUACUUGAGUCCUGUUCAGGUAGGCGGAAUUCCCGGUGUAGCGGUGAAAUGCGUAGAUAUCGGGAGGAACACCAGUGGCGAAGGCGGCCUACUGGGACGGUACUGACGGUCAUGGACGAAAGCUGGGGGAGCAAACCGGAUUAGAUACCCGGGUAAUCCCAGCCGUAAACGAUGGAUGUUAGGUGUAGUGAUAACUUCGCUGCACCCCAGCUAACGCGUUAAACAUCCCGCCUGGGGAGUACGGGCGCAAGCCUGAAACUCAAAGGAAUUGGCGGGGGCCCGCACAACCGGUGGAGCGUCUGGUUUAAUUCGAUGCUAACCGAAAAACCUUACCAGGGUUUGAAAUGGUAGGAAAGGCUGUCGAAAGAUAGCCGUGUUUCCCUUUUGGGAGAAAUCCUACCACAGGAGGUGCAUGGCCGUCGUCAGCUCGUGUUGUGAGAUGUUGGGUUAAGUCCCGCAACGAGCGCAACCCUUGUCCUUAUUUGCUUCCUCGUAUGAGGUGCUCUAUAAGGAGACUGCCGGCGACAAGCCGGAGGAAGGAGGGGACGACGUCAGGUCAGUAUGCCCUUUAUGCUCUGGGCUACACAGGCGCUACAGUGGCGAGGACAAUGAGUAGCAAGAGUGCAAGNUCAAGCUAAUCUCACAAACCUUG